ensembl:lncRNA
GAGUAGACUCCGGGAGUUGGUGAUGGACAGGGAGGCCUGGCGUGCUGCAGUCCAUGGGGUCACAAAGAGCUGGACAUGGCUGAGUGGCUGAACUGAACUGAACUGAAGGAGUAAUGUAUACAGAAAUAGAAAUAGAAUGUAUACAUGAAUCUUAUAUACUGUUAUAAACCAAUGUUACCUCAAUAAUAAAUUAAAAUGAAAAAAAGAAGCAGGUGGACUAGAAGGACAUCAGUUCAGUUACUGGAGGUUUAUUUCAUACCAGGCAUGAUUGUAAGCAGUUCUAGGUGCUAACGGAUUUAGUCCUUGUAACAAUCUGAAGAGGAGGCAAUAUUGUUGGGAGACAUGGCUCCCUGGGAAGAUAGGGAUUGUUUCUUCCCCAGAGCAGAGGCAGGUUUGUUUACUUUAUUUUUCUAUUAUAAUAAAGGAUAAUGUCCCCUGCCAGACCAAAGUUUUGGCAGAUUUGCUCACAGCCAUUUCAAGAGUUAGGAUUCUUCAGCUCAGGGUUUUCAGCUGUGAUGCAAAUGCCCCACGUGUGCAGCAUCUACCUGGCUUUGCAUCGCCUCACCCUGGGGAUCUUGCAGGAUAAGGGGAACCAAUUCAAACAUGAAGUUCAUGUCAUCUGCUGUGCUGGGAAUGAUAGCACCCUUUUCCUCUGACCUGAGAGUCUUGUGUCUUCUGCCAGCAUCCAUGGAAGAGAGGCAAGCUGGCUGAUGUGCAGCAUGUGGGAUCUUAGUUCCCCAACCAGGGAUCAAACCUGUGCCCGUUGCCUUCCAAGCACAGAGUCUUAACCACUGGACCACCAGGGAAGUCCCUGUUUUACCUUCUGAUCAAACAUCUUCUAUGAGGAAGCCCUGGAGAUACAAAGUGAGACCUCUGGACUGAAGCACCAAGUGCACGGACUAAAGAUCAGGGAAGCAGAGUCCAGGAUCAAGGAGUCCACUGAGGAGCAGGACAGGAG